rnacentral:misc_RNA from 1 species
CUUGCACCUGCUUUCCAUAUAUAUGUGCCUACUUUGUUGAAUUCUGGCCACUUCCAAUGCAGCAUCAGUAUUCAGUUGCCAUGUGAUGGUGGGGCAUAACAUUCAUUUUGUGAUCUUCUUCACUAGAUUGAUGGAUGGCCUAACAUGCCUCAACUUGGGAGGUAACAAUGAAGGUGACGCUUACCAUGGAGGCUCACCAAAAAUGGGUCAGGUUCUCUCUGUCCUCUCCUCGCCAGAAACGAUCAUGAAAAUAGGCAUGGAUGGUUGGAAAAUGAAGCUGGUGACAAGUGGAGUCAGGAGCUAAAAAUAGCUCGUUCGUCUACUGUCAGGAUCACCUGAAAUCUAAGCCUAAAGCUCUCAGUCAACAUUCACAUUCCUCUCCCUUUCCCGUUACCAUGGCUACUAUUUGACGCCACUCUACCACUCGCCAACGUCGGUAAAGAAAGGAGAUGGGUGGGGAUGGAGGCUCACUGAGUAAUGUUUGUUGGUGAAGGAAAAAAUAGGAAAGGAGAGGACUUUAAUAAUGAGAGAGUAGCUAAAUAAAUG